rnacentral:rRNA from 1 species
UUGACCUACGGGAGGCAGCAGUGAGGAAUAUUGGUCAAUGGUCGGGAGACUGAACCAGCCAAGCCGCGUGAGGGAUGAAGGUACAGAGUAUCGUAAACCUCUUUUGUCAGGGAACAAAGGCGGGGACGUGUCCCCGGAUGAGUGUACCUGAAGAAAAAGCAUCGGCUAACUCCGUGCCAGCCGCCGCGGUAAUACGGAGGAUGCGAGCGUUAUCCGGAUUUAUUGGGUUUAAAGGGUGCGCAGGCGGUCUGUUUAGUCAGCGGUCAAAGACCGGGGCCCAACCCC